CUCAACCCCAUCCCAUUAUCUUGCUGUCUGUCUCCCCUCAGCCCCGUCCCACCAUCUUGGCGUCCGUCUCCCCUCAGCCCCGUCCCGCCAUCUUGGCGUCCGUCUCCCCUCAGUCUGACCCCACUGUCUUGGCGCUUUAGGAGGCAGUUUCCAUGCCUGCCUGUGAUCCCUCUGGAUGCACUGCUCUUCCACAAGUGCUGCUCCAGAGCUCUGCACAGGAUUGGAACGGCAUGUUCUCUACAGUACUGGAAAUACUUAACGGUAUCGACCCCACACCAACGCUUCUGCCAUCUCAAAAAUGCGCCAAAGCACAAGGUGUCAGGAUGUGGGGCUGUGGUUCUGAAGAGAACAGUCGCGUAUUCCACAGGCCCUGAGGAGGCCGAACUUCCCGGCGGUUCCUGCAGGUGGAAGAAAACCUUGGGAACAGGCUGUGGUGAGGAGGAAGAGAACAGCUGCAACCAGAGCAGUGGUGGGCAGGAAGGAGCUCAGCACCACGAGGGCAUGGAGACUGCUGCAGGGAAAACCAGGAUAUCUCCGUUACUAUUUACAGCACUAGAGCCUCACGAAUUCUGAAAAACCUCGAGUGGUGAUUCAUCAGAGGGAGAAGACAGGAAAAAACAACCCUCAUGGAGUGUCCGUGUCCCCCAGCACAGGGGCAGAGCCAAGCUCAGCACAGUCCCUGAUGUCCAUUCCCACCCAAACCAUUCUGUGAUUCUAUGAUAUAUUCUGUCCCAAACCCACUUGGUUUUGAUUAAUACAAUCCUACAACAUUGCAUUCAUUGUUUUUGAUGGUAAUCAGUAAAUUAUUGAUUCUUUUCUUUUUUCUUUCUUUUGAGACAUUUUAUUUAAUAUAGCAAAAAUAAUUUCCUGGACACUUCUGCCUCUUGAUACACACAGGUACCUGUCAUGGUUCUAUGUUGAACUAUGUAAUAGAGUUUUGCCCUGUCCUGGAUAACCUCUGGUGGGAUCUUUGUGUCCCAAUACAACAUCUUUAGCUGUGAAACAAAAAUGGGAAUGACACAUCAUUCUUGAUUUAUUUUGGCUGUCUCCCACCCGGCACACUGUUGACCGCAGAGCUCACCCUCAGGUGAAACCACCUUCUGUAUUCCCUGCAGAAGAAUAUUCUGCAGAUAUCCACAGCUGAGGGCCAGAUUCCCUCUUGGAAGUGCUGCCCUGAUCACUGAAAACCAGCGAUGUCCAGAGUCCAUCAGUCCCCUGGGCAGUGCAGUGUGUGGAAAAGGUUAAUCCUUUCUUUCACAGGGAAGCUCAAGGCUAAGGCUAAGACUGGACAGGACGUUUCUGACAGCCCCUUGCACCACUAUCUCUUCUCCCAUAACUUCAUAAUUUCUUGUUGGCUCUGGAGGACUCUCCCUCUGUGCACAGACACUCUUAUGUGGCCUCUCUGAGCCUUACCUGGUAGUGCCAGCAAGAGCAGCAGGGCUGGAAAACCUUCCAUCCUGGAGCAGAGAGUGGUUUAGGGCACCAAGGGAAAAAACCAUUUCCUGGAGCUUCUUUAUCCCCACACAGUUCCUGCUGCAGAGGAGCAAACUCACUCUGUCACUCAGAGGCUGCUGCCCCGAGUGGUGAUGCCAGUUUGGAAUUGGAGGGUAUCUUUUAACCACAAUCUCUGAGUUAUUUCUUGGGAGGGAAGGCUGCAUGGUGCUCACUGGCUGCCUUUCCCCUUUCAAUACCCUGUGAUAGCUGUAUUUAGCAACCAGGCCGUGGGGCUGGACAAGA